GAGGGUAUAGCUCAGUGGUAGAGUGCCUGCCUAGCAUGCACAAGGUCCUGGGUUCAAUCCCCAGGACCUCCA
rnacentral:tRNA from 1 species